rnacentral:rRNA from 1 species
GAUGAACGCUGGCGGCGUGCCUCAAACAUGCAAGUCGAGCGGGGCUAUGUAAUAUCGCAAGGUAGAACAUAGCCUAGCGGCGAACGGGUGAGUAACACGUGGGUAACCUGCCUGGAAGACAGGGAUAACGAUUCGAAAGGGUCGCUAAUACCUGAUAAUAUCCUUUCAUCGCAUGGUGAUAGGAAGAAAGGGGAAACCCGCUUUCAGAUGGGCCCGCGUCCCAUCAGCUAGUUGGUAAGGUAAAGGCUUACCAAGGCGACGACGGGUAGCCGGUCUGAGAGGAUGUACGGCCACACUGGGACUGAGAUACGGCCCAGACUCCUACGGGAGGCAGCAGUUGGGAAUCUUAGGCAAUGGACGAAAGUCUGACCUAGCGACGCCGCGUGAGGGAAGAAGGCCUUCGGUUGUAAGCACUUUGCGGUACGAACGGACGCUUCUAAUACAGAGCGCUAAUGACGGUACCCGCAGAAUAAGCACCGGCUAACUACGUGCCAGCAGCCGCGGUAAAACG